rnacentral:rRNA from 1 species
AAAGAUUAAGCCAUGCAUGUCUAAGUAUAAGCAAUUAUACCGUGAAACUGCGAAUGGCUCAUUAAAUCAGUUAUCGUUUAUUUGAUAGUACCUUACUACUUGGAUAACCGUGGUAAUUCUAGAGCUAAUACAUGCUGAAAACCCCAACUUCGGAAGGGGUGUAUUUAUUAGAUAAAAAACCAACGCCCUUCGGGGCUUCUUGGUGAUUCAUGAUAACUUUACGGAUCGCAUGGCCUUGCGCCGGCGACGGUUCAUUCAAAUUUCUGCCCUAUCAACUUUCGAUGGUAAGGUAUUGGCUUACCAUGGUUUCAACGGGUAACGGGGAAU